rnacentral:sRNA from 2 species
GCAAAAGGGGUAAAGACAGCCAACAUUCUUUCGUUCGAGCCAAGCCGAGUUGAAUCAAAAGCAGCUCCUCGCCGCCAUGAAAUGCAAACGAGAUCCUGAUCCAAGGGGCCCCAAAUAAUCGGCACAGAAUGCAGGAAGCUCAUAUGCAGGUACCGACGACUAGUUAGCCAGGUACGGAUGCCAGCAUGCAGGAAUCCUGUUUCACAUACGCAGUCAGUACGCAUGAGACAGGAGGGUGACGGACAGGGUCAAUGCGAGGGACGUGUCUGAAGAAGAAGAACAUGGUUUCGCGACCCUGGAGAGUGGUGUGAG